rnacentral:rRNA from 1 species
AAAAGCCCAGCGCUGAAUCCAUCGGCCACUGGUCGCUUGGAGUUGUAGCGUAUAGGUGCGGCUGUCUGAUCGUGUCGCGCACCCAAAGUCCCCUUGAGCGGGGCCACGGUCCGAAGAAGGUGCUAGACCUGUACGGGUGGCGAGACGGUUGGUUGGUCGCUCCUUGGAGUCGGGUUGCCUGGGAUCGCAGCCCAAAGUUGGUGGUAGACCUCAUCUAAGGCUAAAUAUGGCCACGAAACCGAUAGCAAACAAGUACCGUGAGGGAAAGUUGCAAAGAACUUUGAAGAGAGAGUUCAAGAGGGCGUGAAACCGCUGAGAUGGAAACGGAUAGAGUUGACGGAGCUCUGCUGCAUUCACCCGAUCGGCCUAGCGGUCCAAUGGCUUUGACUUCCUCGAUGAGGGCAAGGCUGCUGGUAACUGUUGGGUAUUUGAUCGGUGUAUUUGCGGCUGGUAUGCGCUGAGGGCUUUGUGAGCGCAUGUCGACGGGCGUGGAGUGGACCAUACCUUUCCGGUGUGGAACCCUUCGCGCUCUUAGGCAUGUCGUUUGUAAAGUUUCAAAAGUGCCGUCUCCGCUAUGGUGCAUCGGUUUUGUCGAGCUGUUGUGGCUUCAGGCUGGUCGCAUGCGACCGUCGGUCGUCGUCAAUGGUCCGUCAAAGCACAGAUGCGCCGAG